CAGCAGCCGCGGUAAUACGGAGGGAGCUAGCGUUGUUCGGAAUCACUGGGCGUAAAGCGCACGUAGGCGGCUAUUCAAGUCAUGGGUGAAAGCCCGGGGCUCAACCCCGGAACUGCCUUUGAAACUAGAUAGCUUGAAUCUUGGAGAGGCGAGUGGAAUUCCGAGUGUAGAGGUGAAAUUCGUAGAUAUUCGGAAGAACACCAGUGGCGAAGGCGACUCGCUGGACAAGUAUUGACGCUGAGGUGCGAAAGCGUGGGGAGCAAACUGGAUUAGAUACCCCCGUAGUCCCUGUCUCUUAUAC
rnacentral:rRNA from 1 species